rnacentral:misc_RNA from 1 species
AAAAAAAAGAAAAGAAAAAAAAAACUACAAAAAUUAGUAGAUAUGUAUCCAAUAUUAUUGUUCUUGCCAUUUUAGAAAACAUAUUUUACUUUUAAAUAGUGGGCCAUACUCUUGCUUGCUUUCAUUUUCUCUCACUUUACUUUCCUUUACUAGUAGCAAGGUCCAAUCUCUUAACCUAGUGCUCUAACACCAACUUUAUAACGACACAAGUUUGGACCUUUGUUGACGCUAUAGCUUAGGUUAGCAUAAAGCCCCCUAAACUUUUAGCAAACCUAAUAACUUACAUAAAAAUCUCAUAAAUCUCAUUUAGGGCCUAAUACUAUUCAUGUAACAACCCAAUAUGGGACAGCUAUUAGCGUUAAGGGAAUGGCUAGGCUAGGAGCCACCAAAAUCCAUAGCAAGCCUAAACAUCACAUUUCAUAGAUAGUGUGGGGCUCAUUUUAGUCAUAAAACACUUUAAAAAUAAAAUAACUUCAUUUAUUAUAAAACAUUUAGUUUACAAGCACAUUAAUCCUUCAUACAAUUACAUGUCGUAAAAGGAGUUCUAUAAUUCCUACUCAUACUUCUUUAAAAUAUAAUAAGGCAGUAGCCUUUGGAACUCAUAGCAUGAAUGUGCUAAAUUGUAUCUUUAACUCUCGUCCUUUAAAGGGUGAGCUUUGGGGUUUAGUGAGUAAAAUCCUAUUUAAGGGGAUAAAAUAUAUAGUAAAACAAUUUACAUUUUUAAGCAUAUGCAUUGCAACAUUCUCACAUUGGUCUUACAUCACAUACAAUUCACAUCAAGGUAAUUCAUGUCACUAGUUGUUCCUUAGCAAUUUUAUUAUAAUAAACAUAUAUUCAAUGUGCUAAGCCCAUUAUAGGAGCUCCUGAGAAUUUCCUCUUAUCAUUUUAUAUCAAAAAUUUGGGGUUAGAGACACAUAAUUGCCGUACUUGGUUAUCCCAUAUCAUAGUGAGUUCAUUAUGCAUGCAUGCAUGCCAUUCCUUUCCUUUAUCAUAUCAUUUCUAAUUGGGAACUAGUGGGUCAUCAAUGAACUACCAGCACAACAAAAGUAAUAAUAUAACACCUUCAUGAGUUGGUGUGUAUAUAUAUAUAUAUCUAAUAAAAUAACCAUGAUGCAUGAAUGCAUAUUGUAUACACUAAUUUUUUUUAUCUUUAUAGAACCUACGCAUUUAAGGUAGUAAGAAGCCCAACAAUGAAAGCUAUAAAUGGUUCCAAGGAUGUUGAAGGUACUGAAGAAAUGUAUAUGAGAUAUUCUAUAUACUAAAAAUAAAAAUUAAAUAGGUUUAUUGAAG